rnacentral:lncRNA from 1 species
GCCCCUUUCAGUUUUCUCAUCUGCAAUCACUCUGAGCCCGAUGAGUAAUUCAAAAUGGAGAGUCUGAAAAGAGGGCGACCUUUUAAUAAGCAAGUCAAACUCACUUCUUAAAGUCUUCCUUUUCUUUCAUUUGCGCUCUAAGUGUAGGAAGUUGGCUCUUACUGGGAAGUAGAAAACUGGAGCAUAUGGGAGGGACAGUGCGGGCUGUGUGGAGAUUCCCACGCCUGGGCUACACAAAACGGAAAAGAAACCCCUUUCUCAGCAGAAUCCAGUCUUUCCUUGCAUAUCUCUACGCUUUCUAUUGAACUGGGUUUUUAAGUUCGGAAAAUAAAUUCUGUGUUAUCAAAACAGAGGGCAGAGCUGUAUCUGGGUCUCCUAACAACUGAAAUCGACCAUCUUCUGCACGAAAUCUUUAAGGACCAAGUGGCUCAGCCCCACAUGGAAAGAAACGCCAGGAGGGUUCCAAUGUGCUGCCCAUCUUGUGCAUGUGUCUUCGAGGCAAGUCCAAAUGGCAUAAGGUUAAAGAACAUUAGAAAGUGGUUUACACAUGUACAACAACAUGGCUUUUCUCAUUUGAAAAAAGAAACACAAAACUGUGCUUAAGGCAUUUGUAGAAGUCAGCACUGAAAAUUCUUCUUAAGAAAAAUAUUUUCAAGGCAAUACAUGAAACUCAGUUAUGCAAAUGGGCCACUCAGCCCCUCCCACUGCAGGACAAGAAAAAAAUUAUUAGUGUCCAAUCAAGAGUUUGCAAGCUCUACUAUUCACCACAGCCAAGACAUGGAAACAAUCCAAGUGCCCAUUGACUGAUGAUUGGAUAAAGAAGAUGUGGUAUAUACAUACAAUGGAAUACUACUCAGCCAGAAUAAAAGACAAAUUCAUCCCAUUUGCAACAACAUGGAUGGACCUGGAGGGUAUUAUGCUAAGUGAAAUAAGUCAGACUGAGAAAGACAAACACCAGAUGAUUUCACUCAUAUGUGGAAUAUAAAUGAACACAUGGACAAAGAAAACAGUUCAGUGAUUACCAGGGGAAGCGGGGUGGAAGGUGGCCACAGGGGGUGAAGGGGAGCACGUACAUGGUGACAGACAAGAAAUAAUGUACCACUGAAAUUUCAAGAUGAUGUAAACUAUUCUGAAUCUCAAUUUAAAAAAUAAAAUAAAAUAAAGAAUUUUGAAAUUUCAAAAAGAGAGUUUGCAAGCUUUGAUAGAAGUAUGCAAAUAUAAAAUUCAUGGAACUUUGAAUAAGCAAAAUAACCACAAAUACCAGAAUACUCAUCAAUCUGAAGAAUUUUUCUUUUUUUUUUUUUUAAAGAUUGGCACCUGAGCUAACAAAUGUUGCCAAUCUUUUUUUUUUUUUUUUUUCUGCUUUAUUUCCCCAAAUCCCCCUGGCACACAGUUGUAUAUCCUAGGUGCAGGUCGUUCUAGUUGUGGUAUGUGGGACACCGCCUCAACGUGGCCUGAUGAGCCAUGUCCGUGCCCAGGAUCCGAACCCGCAAAACCCCAGGCCACUGAAGCGGAGCUCAGGAACUUAACCACUCGGCCAUGGGGUCGGCUCCCUGGAGAAUUUUUCUAAAUGGCAGAAUUAGAUCUCAGUUGCGCAGUUUUGUUUUUUGGGUUUUUUUGGCUUGUAGGUAGGCUAGAGAGAAGUUUUGUCUUAAUGAGAGUCUAUUUGUUUUCACUGGUAUAAAUACAUAUUGUUAAAUUUGCUCAUGACAACCUUAAAGUGAGAGAUGUAAUCUUAAAUGUAAUCUCUGACAGGUAAGAAUAUAGCAAAUUCAUUUUGACUUACAAAAAGGAGGGAAACAUUUAUAAGGACAGAGCUACAUUACAUAGUCAAAAUACAAAAAUAAAAACACCUAUAGGAGAUAUUCAGGGAAAACAUGGGGAAAUUUAAACAUAAAUUUAAGAAAGAAGAUGGGAGGAUUAUACGGUAUCUUUGUAACUGAGGUGACAGAGAAUGGGCAGCAGCAUCCUGGGAGACUUUCCCUGCAGAGCUGAGGCUCCUUGAGGACCUCAAGGGUUAAUGUCAGAAAGGGUCAUAAUGGAUGCUCAAAGGGUGCAUCUUUUCUUGACAGGACAGAGGGCAUAAAAUCAGCUCCCUGUUGUUUCCAUCAGCGGCACUCAGCCUAUAGACGUAAUACCUAAGAAUCUAGUUAUGAUUUUCUCCUCUGGAAGACCUUGAAAACUACCACAAUCCAACUGAUCACACUUCUAGUAAGUGGAGGUACUGAAGUGUGAAUUCUGGUUGUCUGGUGCUAUAUAAUAAGACCUUGGAGAGCUGAGAAAUAGAAUCACAUGCACAUGGAGGCAUCACUUAUGACAUACAGCUUUGGCAUGAGAAAUCAUUAAAGCAAUUAUACUGAUGAGACCAUUUCAUUUCUGAUUAAAAAAAUAAAAUCGAAGUAUCUCACACUACAGACAAAAAUAAAUUCCAAAUUAGGAAUA